GACGAACGCUGGCGGCGUGCCUAAUACAUGCAAGUAGAACGCACAGUUUAUACCGUAGCUUGCUACACCAUAAACUGUGAGUUGCGAACGGGUGAGUAACGCGUAGGUAACCUGCCUGGUAGCGGGGGAUAACUAUUGGAAACGAUAGCUAAUACCGCAUAAUAUUAAUUAUUGCAUGAUAAUUGAUUGAAAGAUGCAAUUGCAUCACUACCAGAUGGACCUGCGUUGUAUUAGCUAGUAGGUGAGGUAACGGCUCACCUAGGCGACGAUACAUAGCCGACCUGAGAGGGUGAUCGGCCACACUGGGACUGAGACACGGCCCAGACUCCUACGGGAGGCAGCAGUAGGGAAUCUUCGGCAAUGGACGAAAGUCUGACCGAGCAACGCCGCGUGAGGGAAGAAGGUUUUCGGAUCGUAAAGCUCUGUUGUAAGAGAAGAACGGGUGUGAGAGUGGAAAGUUCACACUGUGACGGUAUCUUACCAGAAAGGGACGGCUAACUACGUG
rnacentral:rRNA from 1 species